CUACAGUGAAAGUGUUGCACAAUCCCGUGAAACUGUUGCCAGGGAUCUCAUAUCUGUUCCAAAUUGAUGAUGAAGGAGUCUGAGAAAAGCUGCUUGUGAUAAAAUUUCUACUAUUGAAAGCAUUAUUUAAUAUUCUACUGAAAAAGUGGCAGACUUCUCAAAUGUGGGGCAAUGCAAAGCGUACUGAGUUGUCAGGUGUUUUGUUGUUUGUAAGGGUAAUAAUAGUUCAGCCAAGCCUGAAUGCAAAUCACACAUGAUGCGUGCUUGCACACACUCAGUUGAAAAAUCACAUACUGAACUUUGAAGGUGACACUACUAUUCACAGCUCAUUUUAGGGCUGUCCCACUGUGGCCUUUGGAAGCCAAAAAAGGGGUACGAGAAGAGCUACUUGGCAAGGCUUGCAUUUCAGCAGAGCAACUUUGGGACCAUUGUAAUUCCAGUAGUUUGAGAGCAGAAACCAAGAUUAAUGUGGCUUGCUGGGCUGAAUCCCAGUUUCAACCCCACAGUAUUUUGGAUACUUUCAUUAUACCUUCCUCCAUUAACCAUGAGACAGACACAAUUAUGAGACUGAAAUAAACUGGACUUCUCUCUCCAGCUUCUGAACAGACAGAAGUCAAAACAGCCACAUAUGGUACAUGGAAUAUAGGAAUCUUAGAAUUGGUAGAACAUGAUCUGCCCAUCCAAUUAUUUACGUAAAACCUAUUUUGCAAUUCCAGUCAUUGCUUUGUGCUCUACUGAACAGAGACACUAACAGAGAAAGGGGAGGAACAGUAUCAACAUACAUAACUUUGCAUCACAUUUCACCUUUUCUCUCCAACUUUGAAAGAUGAAAGACGAGAUUUCUACCAAGAGUGGCAGUGCCAACAGCACAAGAUCAGAACAAAAUUCUGUGAACUGCACAGAGUUCACCUUCCUCCGCUGCUUAUUCUGCUGCUUUUUUUUCUUUCCUGCUGUUAUUUAUUUGCUUUCAUGUGCUCCUUCAACUAAGAUGACAGUGAGAACAUCCUCAUAAGCCUGAGGGCUUUGUGGUCGACAUUCUCAGCUGUGUCAUUUCCACACUGCUACGAAAAGAAAGAAAUGGGUUCUAGAUCUGCUAUUGAGUAGAUUCUUUCAACCAUAUAACACACUAUUUGACUGAGCAUGAAUAGAAUUUUGCAUCAAAAAUUUUUACUUUGUUUUUGGUCCUAUUCUGUGGAACUCUUAGGUAUCAGUGAGAAAAGAAGCCUAAAUACUUAACUAACAACACUGAGUUUAUCAUGAGGAGGACAUUCAAGAAUAACAGAUUUGUCUACUAAACCCAGGAUUUUAACAAAACAAGUUGUUUCAAUAUUGCAAAAGAAAUAUGCACAAUUGUCCUGAUAAAAUUUAAUAACUGCCUAAUUCAGAAACACUACAUAUAAUUCCACACUAAAAUAGCUAAAUCUUCAUUUUUGGAAAAAGCAAACAAAAAAACAAACCAAACCAAAACACAACACUUUACUCAGCAUGCUUAAAUGAAAACGGAGUGCUGAAAAUAAAGAAGUGACAACAAAACAUACUCCCUACUUGAUUCACACAGCUUUACAUGUUGAAGUAAAAAAAAAAAAAAGCUAUCCCAUUCUGGUAACAAGAACACAGGCUACAGAAGAGGCACAUUCUAAAAUAAAAAUAAAUAGACAAAAGUUUUCCAUGUUUUCUUAGUUCUCCCCUCAUCCCUGUAACAGUGGAAGUGAGCUGCUAGGUGCUGUCAUUACAAACCAUGUGAGCACAUGUACUCAUGUCAAAGCAGUCUGCUCGCUACUUAUCUCAUCAGAGGUAUUUCCAAAGCUCUGUCAUCCUGACUGGAAGACUAAUAGCUGCUUUCUCCUGAUGAACCCCUGAAACCAAAAUUGCAAAACUUGUUGAAGAUCUCCCUCAUACAUUCCAUUUAUCAUUGUUUACUGUGAACCACUCUGGUUCUCCUCCCCCAUUCAAACAGUUCUCACCCUUCUCUAAGGCAUUAUUUAAUCACAAGCAAUGUAAAAUCAUCUUACUGUCAUGAUGACAGAUCCUACAAAUCCCUUCUACUGAGUACGGUCUUGAUCUGUUGUAUUGCACAGUAAGAGGGUUUGCAGGAUUAUCUACUACAAGUUUUCAAAAGUUAUCCAGAAUUGAAGCACAGUUUUAAAUCCCAGACCUCAACCCCAAGCAAUGUUAGGAAACGCAUUUCAUUUGAGCAUCUUCUUGAAAUCAUUGCUGUCCAUUUCUUUUCCUGGCAUACAAGCCAAGGCAGGCACAGAAUCCAAUGACACUGACAGCGAGGCCCAGCAGGAAGGCAAUUGUAUCUCCUGCGUCCAUGGCUUCAACCACUGGCAGCACCAGCAGCAGUGAAGUGAGGACCAGGAGAAGUCUUGAGGUACACUCGGCGGAAGACAUGCUGCUGACCCCACAAGGAAGUUAAACGCCGAAAGCAGUAGAAAGCAGGUCCUUCAGCAAUAUCUCGGUCACCUCCCGCCGCAGCGCAACGCCGCCGACUCCGGGCUGGGCGGCGUCCCCGCUCGGCACCGGCCGCUCAGCUCCUGAGGAGGGCUGCUUUCCACCCCGCCGCCUCGUCGCGCUGCCGGGGCCCGGCCGCCGCCAUGACAGGAAGGGGCGGCGGAGGGCCGGAGACAGGGGCGGGCUGACCCGCCCGGGCCGCCUCCCGCCGGGCACGAGGUGCCGCGCCGCGGCCUUCACUCCUCCGCAGAGCCGUCCUCGGCUUCUCCGAGCAUCGCGGGGUGCGGGCGGGCCGCGGGGCGGCAGUGCCGCCUUUCCCCCCCUGAGCGGCGAAGGGGGCGCCGCGCUCCUGUGAGGCCGCUGGGGUGCGAGCGGCCGCAGCGCGCGAGCCUGGCAUGGGAAGGCUGUCAGCGUUUCGGCUGCACCCGAGUGAAACGAUAAGCGGCUGGCUGUGCGCUCGUCGCUCUGGAAAUAAAUAAAUAGCGCGAGAUGCCUCCUGUCGGACUGCAGGUGCCGUUUUGUGUCCUGAUGAGGCAGCGGUACCAAGUACUGAUAAGUGCCAGCGUAACAAGAACCUCCUCGCAGGUGUUAAACGAGCAUAUAGGGUGCAGAGCUGCAUGGUGCCUUUGCAACAAAAAAAGACGUAGUGAAGCCGAUUGUAAUCAGGCAAUUACCUGUGGUCACCUACAGCACUCAGUCAGACGUCCCGGUUCUUGUUCUUAUUUCUGCUUCAGACAAAGCUGCUUGUAGGAGUGCUGUGUCUCACAUAGUAUCUUUCUGUCACACAAAGCAGGGCUAAAAUGUUUUUGCUGUAAAUGCCACAGCAGUGAACCCAGCUAGUUCCGUAUGGAAGCUCCAGUUUUUAUUUUCCAGUGGAAAAUGUGCAUGCUUUUAGCUGUACAAAAGACCUCUACACAAUUACUGAAGUUUUAAAGUGUGUCUUUUUGGAAUGAACACAGAAAUAACCAGAAGCAAUUGUGCCAAGAAUUUGUGAUACCUCAUGUUAAGCAUUUAUUCAUGAUAGACCGUGUUACCAGAGUGUUUCCUACACUUGUGCAAGAAAAGUUUCUGUAAUCAUUUUUCUUUUAAGAAACAAUUUCCGAUGAGCUUCCUAAACGGCAAUAGAAGCCCAGAUUGUUCCGUGUGCAUCUAGCUUUGCCUCUGCUUUAUAUAAUUUCACUACAAUUGUCCUUGAGCAACCACUUCUCAUGCUUAUAAAAACUUUUGAAGUCUGAGCUGGAAUGUUACUGCAGUGCUGACCAUAAUUACUUUCUUACUGCUCUUCCUUUCCCCAUCUGGAUCCAUCAGCUCUCUUAGUCUAUAAACUUUCAGGACUAGAAACAAUCUUUCUGCACUCUUUUUGUAUCAAGUGCUGUGAAAGCUUAUUCUUUAUAAGCUGGAGUGCC
rnacentral:lncRNA from 1 species